rnacentral:rRNA from 1 species
CGGGACCUAAGGCGAGGCCGACAGGCGUAGUCGAUGGACAACCGGUUGAUAUUCCGGUACCCGCUUUGAAACGCCCAGUACUGAAUCAGGCGAUGCUAAGUCCGUGAAGCCGGCCCGAUCUCUUCGGAGUUGAGGGUAGUGGUGGAGCCGAUGAACCAGACUUGUAGUAGGUAAGCGAUGGGGUGACGCAGGAAGGUAGUCCAGCCCGGGCGGUGGUUGUCCCGGGGUAAGGGUGUAG